rnacentral:rRNA from 1 species
UACGGGGGGGGCAAGCGUUGUUCGGAAUUACUGGGCGUAAAGGGCGCGUAGGCGGUUCGCUAAGUCGGAUGUGAAAACUCUGGGCUCAACCCAGAGCCUGCAUCCGAAACUGGCGGGCUAGAGUUCUGGAGGGGUAGCGGAAUUCCUGGUGUAGCGGUGAAAUGCGUAGAUAUCAGGAGGAACACCGGUGGCGAAGGCGGCUACCUGGACAGAAACUGACGCUGAGGCGCGAAAGCUAGGGGAGCAAACAGG